GAUGAACGCUGGCGGCGUGCCUAAUACAUGCAAGUCGAGCGAACGGACGAGAAGCUUGCUUCUCUGAUGUUAGCGGCGGACGGGUGAGUAACACGUGGAUAACCUACCUAUAAGACUGGGAUAACUUCGGGAAACCGUAGCUAAUACCGGAUAAUAUUUUGAACCGCAUGGUUCAAAAGUGAAAGACGGUCUUGCUGUCACUUAUAGAUGGAUCCGCGCUGCAUUAGCUAGUUGGUAAGGUAACGGCUUACCAAGGCAACGAUGCAUAGCCGACCUGAGAGAGUGAUCGGCCACACGGGAACGGAGACACGGUCCAGACUACUACGGGAGGCAGCAGUAGGGAAUCGGACGCAGUGGGCGGAAGCCUGACGGAGCAACGCCGCGUGAGUGAUGGAGGUCUUCGGAUCGUAAAACUCUGUUAUUAGGGAAGAACAUAUGUGUAAGUAACUGUGCACAUCUUGACGGUACCUAAUCAGAAAGCCACGGCUAACUACGUG
rnacentral:rRNA from 1 species